AGAGUUUGAUCAUGGCUCAGAGCGAACGCUGGCGGCAGGCUUAACACAUGCAAGUCGAGCGGGCCCUUCGGGGUCAGCGGCAGACGGGUGAGUAACACGUGGGAACGUACCCUUUGGUUCGGAAUAACGCUGGGAAACUAGCGCUAAUACCGGAUACGCCCUUUUGGGGAAAGGCUUGCUGCCGAAGGAUCGGCCCGCGUCUGAUUAGCUAGUUGGUGGGGUAAUGGCCUACCAAGGCGACGAUCAGUAGCUGGUCUGAGAGGAUGAUCAGCCACACUGGGACUGAGACACGGCCCAGACUCCUACGGGAGGCAGCAGUGGGGAAUAUUGGACAAUGGGCGCAAGCCUGAUCCAGCCAUGCCGCGUGAGUGAUGAAGGCCUUAGGGUUGUAAAGCUCUUUUGUCCGGGACGAUAAUGACGGUACCGGAAGAAUAAGCCCCGGCUAACUUCGUGCCAGCAGCCGCGGUAAUACGAAGGGGGCUAGCGUUGCUCGGAAUCACUGGGCGUAAAGGGCGCGUAGGCGGCCAUUCAAGUCGGGGGUGAAAGCCUGUGGCUCAACCACAGAAUUGCCUUCGAUACUGUUUGGCUUGAGUUUGGUAGAGGUUGGUGGAACUGCGAGUGUAGAGGUGAAAUUCGUAGAUAUUCGCAAGAACACCAGUGGCGAAGGCGGCCAACUGGACCAAUACUGACGCUGAGGCGCGAAAGCGUGGGGAGCAAACAGGAUUAGAUACCCUAGUAGUCC
rnacentral:rRNA from 1 species